ACGGCAAUAUGAUGUUGAACCACCGAUACUCGUACGAUCACCGAAGUUAAGCAACGUCGAGUCUGGUCUGUAGCUAGAUUGGUGACCACUUGAGAAUACCAGGUGCUGUAA